AUUGAACGCUGGCGGCAUGCCUUACACAUGCAAGUCGAACGGCAGCACGGGGCAACCUGGUGGCGAGUGGCGAACGGGUGAGUAAUGCAUCGGAACGUGCCAUUGAGUGGGGGAUAACGUAGCGAAAGUUGCGCUAAUACCGCAUAUUCUGUGAGCAGGAAAGCAGGGGACCGCAAGGGCCUUGCGCUCUUUGAGCGGCCGAUGUCAGAUUAGCUAGUUGGUGAGGUAACGGCUUUACCAAGGCGACGAUCUGUAGCGGGUCUGAGAGGAUGAUCCGCCACACUGGAACUGAGACACGGUCCAGACUCCUACGGAGGCAGCAGUGGGGAAUUUUGGGACAAUGGGCGCAAGCCUGAUCCAGCCAUGCCGCGUGAGUGAAGAAGGCCUUCGGGUUGUUAAGUACG
rnacentral:rRNA from 1 species